GUGCUAGCUUCAGCAGCACAUACAGAGAGGAGAUUAGCGUGGCCCCUGCGCAAGUAUGGCACGCAAAUCCGUGAAGCGUUCCAUAUUUUU
rnacentral:snRNA from 2 species